GACGAACGCUGGCGGCGUGCUUAACACAUGCAAGUCGAACGAAGUGGCGAACGGGUGAGUAACGCGUAAUCACCCUGCCCUUCAGAGGGGGACAACAGUUGGAAACGAAUGCUAAUCCCACAUACUGACGUCGGGGAUUGCGUCUGAUUGGCUCGUUGGGGGGGUAACGGCCCACCAAGGCGAUGAUCAGUAGCCGGGCUGAUGGGUGGAACGGGCACAUUGGGAAUGGGAAAAGGCCCCAACUCCUACGGGGGGCAGCAGGGGGGAAUCUUCCGGAAUGGACGAAAAUCUGACGGAGCAACGCCGGCUGAGGGGUGAUGGCCUUCGGGUUGUAAAGCUCUUGUAAUCGGGAAGCGGUACCGGAAUAGAAAGCCACGGCUAACUACGUGCCAGCAGCCGCGGUAAUUC
rnacentral:rRNA from 1 species